rnacentral:rRNA from 1 species
AACGAACGCUGGCGGCAGGCCUAACACAUGCAAGUCGAACGCUGUAGCAAUACAGAGUGGCAGACGGGUGAGUAACGCGUGGGAACCUACCCUUUGGUUCGGAAUAGCUCAGGGAAACUUGAGGUAAUACCGGAUAAGCCCUUCGGGGGAAAGAUUUAUCGCCAAAGGAUGGGCCCGCGUCGGAUUAGCUAGUUGGUGGGGUAACGGCCUACCAAGGCGACGAUCCGUAGCUGGUCUGAGAGGAUGAUCAGCCACACUGGGACUGAGACACGGCCCAGACUCCUACGGGAGGCAGCAGUGGGGAAUAUUGGACAAUGGGGGCAACCCUGAUCCAGCCAUGCCGCGUGAGUGACGAAGGUCUUCGGAUUGUAAAGCUCUUUUGGCGGGGAAGAUAAUGACGGUACCCGCAGAAUAAGCCCCGGCUAACUUCGUGCCAGCAGCCGCCGUAA